UUACGGCGCGCCGCGGUUUGCGACGCCCAAGAUGGCCGCCCCCAGGGCACAAUGAGCCCGCUCCGGCCGCCGCCGCCGCCGGGGGGAACGCGGGGCACGGGCACGGCCGGCCGGGACACAGCCGCGGCGCUCCUCCGGCAGCGGGGCUCGUCCGCGACCGCUCGGCGUGUGCAGCCCCGCCGCAGCUCGUAGUGGGAGAGCGGAGCGUCCCCGGGGAGGCGGCAUGUGGGGCGCCCUGGUGCGGCGCGGGGUCCGCGGCGGCGGCGGGCUGCGGUGCCUGUCCUCGGGCGGCCCGCCCUGGAGCCAGGUGGUGUCGGAGGCCGAGAAGAUCGUGGGCUACCCGACGUCCUUCAUGAGCCUGCGGUGCCUGCUGAGCGACGAGCUCAGCAACAUCGCCAUGCAGGUCCGCAAGCUGGUGGGCACCAAGCACCCGCUGCUCGACACCGCCCGGGGUUUUGUGUACGAUAGCCGAAACAAUUUACAGAUGCGAGGUUUGGUCGUACUGCUUAUUUCCAAAGCUGCUGGACCCAGCACAGCAGAGCUCUCUUUCCAGCACGACAUGGUCAGUGGAAUUUAUUCCAGUCAGAGAAGUCUGGCUGAGAUUACGGAGCUGAUCCAUACUGCCUUUCUGGUGCAUCGUGGCAUAGUAAACAUUGGUGAGCUCAAGUCCUGCGAUGGCCCACUGAAGGAUAUGCAGUUUGGGAAUAAAAUGGCUGUUUUGAGUGGAGAUUUUCUUCUAGCAAAUGCUUGCACAAGCCUUGCACAAUUGCAGAAUACCAAGGUUGUGGAACUCAUUUCAAGUGCUAUUGGUGACUUAGUUCAAGGGAUAUAUUAUGAAAACUCAAAAUCAUCUGAGGAGAACUGCCUCACAGAUGACAUUGGCAUAUCUAGGUGGAAGGAGCAGGUUUUCCUGUCACACAGUGCCUUGCUGGCCAAGAGCUGCCAGGCUGCAAUGGAGCUAGCAAAGCACAGCCCUGAGAUCCAGGACAUGGCAUUCCAGUAUGGGAAGCAUAUGUCUAUGAGUCAUAAGCUACAUUCGGACCUGCAGCCAUUUGUUAAAGAAACUUCCAGUGACACCAUGGCCUUCAGUUUAAAUUCUGCUCCUGCAAUCCUUCAUCAGGAAUUCCGUGGAAGGGAGGCAUGGCUUAAACAGAUUAGAGAGGCACAAGGAAAAGGAAACAUUAUGGACUAUAAGAAGCUGCAGGAAGCGAUCAAGGCUGGCAAAGGUGUCACUUCUGCCAUCGACCUCUGCCGCUGCCACGGAAACAGAGCGCUGGCAGCCCUGGAGCGAUUCCCUCCCUCGGAGGCCAGGGACGCCUUGGCCAACAUUGUCUACGCCGUGACCAGGUUUCCCUGACCUGCUGCUCCGGGACGAGCGUCUCUCCCUCCACAGGUGGAAGCAGCCCGGCGGGACCCCGGUGCCGCCUCACGCCUCCACAGGUGGAAGCAGCCCCGGUGCCGCCUCACGCCUCUGCCCCCUCAGCCCGUCCCGGCAGAGGAACGCGCGCUCGCCGCCGCCGCCACCAGCAAAACUCGGGAGGGGAAAGAAAAAAGGUCACAGACGGUUUUCGCUUGUCGUGCCAGAAGCGCACUUGAGGCUGCACCGGUAGAAAUAAUUAAUGAGUCCCGUUUCCGUGACCUCAGCAAAUGGACAGGAAAUAAGGCGGUAUUGAUUGGGCAGCAGCGGGGACGGCGCCAGGGCGGAGGCCGGUGGUUUUCCUGCCAGAGGGAGGGAUGGAUGGAAGGGCGUGAAGAUCCAGGUGUCACGAGAAACCCGCUCAAACCUGCCCAGAGAGAGUGAGCUGCCGAAACCGGGAAUUAACAUUCCCUUUUCCAACGGGAAGGGCAGUUUGGGGGAUUAAUGGGGGAAAAUCCCUCUCUGUCUGCACGCAGUUAUGUCUCCUCACACUCUUUUUAUGUAUUCAAAUGUAAAAUUACCCUGUGCCUAAUGAGUUCUGUAUUUGAGAAACUUGCUGAGAAAAUGUGUCAAGCAUGGUAAGUAGGAGCUUUAAAAUAUUUAAUCAAAUAUUAAUUUGGCUCUGUUAAGGGAACUGAGUGCCUGGAGUUUAUACUGUGCCUAUGUAAAAUGUUGCUCUGGGUCAAAGAAUGAGGUUUUUCCAACUCUUCUGGGGGAGGGAAUAUCCCUCCCUCGGAUCCAGCAGUUUGUUUCAACAGAGUCUUACACAAAAGAAUUUCCUAUGUUUGUGACACUUGUGUUAAUUUAAGCCAAAUAAAUGUUAAUUUGUAAGGCUAGACAUCAGCCUUUGGCAAAAAGGAAGCAGGAAUGCUCCUCUGUGAGUAGUCAUUGCACUGAAUAAAAUGCAGAAAAUACUGGAGAAGUUUUGAACCUCAGUUGUUGGAUUUUCAAGUCCAAUUACAGACAGCUUAUAAGGUGUAUCAGAAACCUGCAAUUUGAGACCGUCUCUGUUUUGUUCAUAGGAGAUGAUUUUUGUGGUUUGCACUCGUGCAAUCUGAGAAUGCCGUUGACAAGAAGGCUGAG